GUGGGGAAUAUUGGACAAUGGGCGCAAGCCUGAUCCAGCCAUGCCGCGUGAGUGAUGAAGGCCUUAGGGUUGUAAAGCUCUUUUGUCCGGGAAGAUAAUGACUGUACCGGAAGAAUAAGCCCCGGCUAACUUCGUGCCAGCAGCCGCGGUAAUACGAAGGGGGCUAGCGUUGUUCGGAAUCACUGGGCGUAAAGCGCACGUAGGCGGACCAUUAAGUCAGGGGUGAAAGCCUGGAGCUCAACUCCAGAACUGCCUUUGAUACUGAUGGUGUCGAGUAUGGAAGAGGUUGGUGGAACUGCGAGUGUAGAGGUGAAAUUCGUAGAUAUUCGCAAGAACACCGGUGGCGAAGGCGGCCAACUGGUCCAUUACUGACGCUGAGGUGCGAAAGCGUGGGGAGCAAACAGGAUUAGAAACCCCUGUAGUCC
rnacentral:rRNA from 1 species